rnacentral:rRNA from 1 species
AUUGAACGCUGGCGGCAGGCUUAACACAUGCAAGUCGAGCGGAGAUGAGGUGCUUGCACCUUAUCUUAGCGGCGGACGGGUGAGCAAUGCUUAGGAAUCUGCCUAUUAGUGGGGGACAACAUUCCGAAAGGAAUGCUAAUACCGCAUACGCCCUACGGGGGAAAGCAGGGGAUCUUCGGACCUCGCGCUAAUAGAUGAGCCUAAGUCGGAUUAGCUAGUUGGUGGGGUAAAGGCCUACCAAGGCGACGAUCUGUAGCGGGUCUGAGAGGAUGAUCCGCCACACUGGGACUGAGACACGGCCCAGACUCCUACGGGAGGCAGCAGUGGGGAAUAUUGGACAAUGGGCGGAAGCCUGAUCCAGCCAUGCCGCGUGUGUGAAGAAGGCCUUUUGGUUGUAAAGCACUUUAAGCGAGGAGGAGGCUACCUGGAUUAAUACUCUAGGAUAGUGGACGUUACUCGCAGAAUAAGCACCGGCUAACUCUGUGCCAGCCGCCGCGGUAAUAC